rnacentral:rRNA from 1 species
GGCGGUAAAUUUAUGUUUAGAGGAGCUUGUUAGUUAAUAGACUUUACUCGUUGGAUCUUACUUUAUUGAGUUUAUUUAUCUCCGUUAUAAGGAUAAAUUAUUCAAGCAAACUUUUGUGUUGGAUUUCAGGUCAAGAUGUAGCUUGAUAAAGGUAUGAUGAGCUACAUUUUAGUAUAAGUGAAUUAAUGAGUUGGAGAGAGUUAUGAAAAUGGAUUUAGAAGUAAUUUUUUUUAGAAUUAAAAGAUGAAUUGAGAUAAUUUAUGUACACAUC